rnacentral:rRNA from 1 species
UACGUAGGGGGCAAGCGUUGUCUGGAUUUACUGGGCGUAAAGAGCGUGUAGGCGGCCAAGCAGGUCCGUUGUGAAAACUGGAGGCUUAACCUCCAGACGUCGACGGAAACCGCGUGGCUAGAGUCCGGAAGAGGAGAGUGGAAUUCCUGGUGUAGCGGUGAAAUGCGCAGAUAUCAGGAAGAACACCAAUGGCGAAGGCAGCUCUCUGGGACGGUACUGACGCUGAGACGCGAAAGCGUGGGGAGCGAACAGG